UCGAGCGAGGCGGCCCGCAAGGGUCAGUCGAGCGGCGAACGGGUGAGUAACGCGUGGAUUAUCUACCCUGAGGUGGGGGAUAACCCGGGGAAACUCGGGCUAAUACCGCAUGAUACCGAGAGGUCAAAGGGGGCUCGCAAGGGCUCUCGCCAUAGGAGGAGUCCGCGUCCGAUUAGCUAGUUGGUAGGGUAAUGGCCUACCAAGGCAACGAUCGGUAGCCGGCCUGAGAGGGUGAUCGGCCACACUGGAACUGAGACACGGUCCAGACUCCUACGGGAGGCAGCAGUGGGGAAUUUUGCGCAAUGGGCUAACGCCUGACGCAGCAACGCCGCGUGGAGGAUGAAGGUCUUUGGAUUGUAAACUCCUGUCGACCGGGAAAAAGCAACUCGACCUAACACGUCGGGGAGUUGAUUGUACCGGUGGAGGAAGCCCCGGCUAACUCUGUGCCAGCAGCCGCGGUAAUACAGAGGGGGCAAGCGUUAUUCGGAAUUAUUGGGCGUAAAGGGCGCGUAGGCGGCCUGGCAAGUGGAAGGUGAAAUCCCUCGGCUUAACCGAGGAACUGCCCUCUAAACUGCUUGGCUUGAGUCCGGGAGAGGUGAGUGGAAUUCCCAGUGUAGCGGUGAAAUGCGUAGAUAUUGGGAGGAACACCAGUGGCGAAGGCGGCUCACUGGACCGGAACUGACGCUGAGGCGCGAAAGCGUGGGGAGCAAACGGGAUUAGAUACCCCGGUAGUC
rnacentral:rRNA from 1 species